rnacentral:rRNA from 1 species
CAGGUCACUCCUACGGGAGGCAGCAGUGAGGAAUAUUGCUCAAUGGACGAAAGUCUGAAGCAGCAACGCCGCGUGAGGGAUGAAGGAGCUUUGCUUUGUAAACCUCUGUAGUUGGAGACAAAUGUAGGGUUACUACCCUAUUGAUGGUAUCCAAAAAGUAAGGAUCGGCUAACUACGUGCCAGCAGCCGCGGUAAUACGUAGGAUCCAAGCGUUGUCCGGAUUUACUGGGUGUAAAGGGUGCGCAGGCGGAAUGGUAAGUUAGUGGUGAAAUACUACAGCGCAACUGUGGAACUGCCAUUAAUACUAUCAAUCUUGAAUGCAGUGGAGGCGGGCGGAAUGUGUCAUGUAGCGGUGAAAUGCUUAGAUAUGACACAGAACACCAAUUGCGAAGGCAGCUUGCUACACUGUGAUUGACACUGAGGCACGAAAGCGUGGGGAUCAAACAGGAUUAGAUACCCUGGUAGUCCACGCCCUAAACGAUGUUCACUCGAUCUCGGCGAUACACUGUCGGGGUCUAUGCAAAAGCAUUAAGUGAACCACCUGGGGAGUACGAUCGCAAGAUUGAAACUUAAAGGAAUUGAC